CCUACGGGAGGCAGCAGUGAGGAAUAUUGGUCAAUGGGCGCGAGCCUGAACCAGCCAAGUCGCGUGAGGGAAGACGGUCCUAUGGAUUGUAAACCUCUUUUGCGGGGAGCAAAAGACGCCACGCGUGGCGUUCCGAGAGUACCCGAAGAAAGAGCAUCGGCUAACUCCGUGCCAGCAGCCGCGGUAAUACGGAGGAUGCGAGCUUUAUCCGGAUUUCUUGGGGUUAAAGGGUGCGCAGGCGGAAGAUAAAGUAAGCGGUAAAAUUGAGAGGCUCAACCUCUUCGAGCCGUUGAAACUGGUUUUCUGGAGUGAGUGAGAAGUAUGCGGAAUGCGUGGUGUAGCGGUGAAAUGCAUAGAUAUCACGCAGAACUCCGAUUGCGAAGGCAGCAUACCGGCGCUCAACUGACGUUCAGGCACGAAAGUGUGGGUAGCGAACAGGAUUAGAUACCCGUGUAGUC
rnacentral:rRNA from 1 species